UGUUUUAAAAAAUUGUAUUUUCUACAAGUAUCUUUUGGAAGUUAAUAAAAAAUAAGGUAAAAUGUAGGGCAGAAGAGGAAAAUUUUACUCUACCUCCGUUAUUAUAUUUAUGUCCCUAUGAUAUUUUAAAAGUGUUAACUUUACUCUUGAAUUUUUUUUUUUAUUUUACAAAUUUAAUUUUUUUUACCAUCAAAGAUUUCUAAAACAAUAAAUUCAAGUUUUUUCUAUAUGCAAAAGUUUUCUGCAAAACUUAAUCUAUGUUCUUUGAUAUUGUAUUUAUCGAAAAACUUUUUUGGUAAUAUAUAUAUUUAAAUAUUUUAAACUUUUAAAAAAUUUGAAGGUUUCGAAUUUUCUGGAAUAAGUUGUGUACCAAAAAACUUGUGAAAAAAAAAUUUUCAGUAAAAAAAUAAUUUAACACUUAUUUAUGUACCGAAAAAUUAAAAUGCUAUUGUGAAUGAAAAUAAUUUUUUUUAAUAUUUAUAUAAAAUUAAAACACCAUCUUAUAAUAUUUAUAGAAGUAAGAGUAUAAUAUAAAGGAUACAUGGUAAAAUAUUCUUAGAAGUGAGAUAUAAAAUCCAGUUUUUCUUAGUACAGAUAUGUUUAGUUUUCGUAGAUUAGCUUAAGAUUUUUAAGGCCCAAGUUUAAAUACUUGCAAACCGACCCAAAAUAAGCCCACAAAUAAAGGCAAUAAACUCUUAACAUAUAUUUUGGGUGUUUCUUCUCCAUUUCUGUGUGCGCUUAAAUAUAUAUUUAAAUUGGUGAAUGUAAACAUAUAACACAUAAUUAAUUCAAACAACAUUUGUGAUGUUUUAAAAGAUUUUGAAGAGAAAAUAAAUUUUCAUGUAUGGUUUUUCUCUUAGUACCCAUAUAUCACAAGUCAGUUAUCUAGUUGCUCCACUGAAAGUCCGAAACAAUUAGAUAACAAUUUAUUUAUAAAAAAAUAAAUAUUAAACAAAAAUAAAAAAACAAUUACGUGGUGGUUUUAAUAAAAAAGCAAUUAGGUAGUAGUAGUUCUAGUUAUUUAUGAGAUAAGUGGUAGUAAGUUACUAGUAGGUCUAGUCUAUUUUAUAAAAUAUGUCCAUGUAAUUAAUCCUACAAAGAUAGAUAGCUUUUAAGAUUAAAUUGAUAAUAAAUAUAAAAUUAAUUUGGUGAUCAGUGUUUUUAACAAUUAACAUAUUAACUAAUAUCGGUCGUUUUAAAUUUAAAAUUGCUACAAUUCAUUUUGUUUUCAUGACUAAAUAGGUAUCUAUUUUAAGAACAAAAAAAAUAUAGGUAUCUAUUUUAUUUUCGCAAAAACAAACGAGAAGAUUUGUUUUUGAAAUUGUGACAUUAAUGGUUAGUUGUUUGUUUUCUCUAUUCUUUUUAGUAUCAAUUGUCUCUUUCUUUAAAAAAUUGGCUAUUUUAUUAUUUGUGAUUACAUUCAAUUAGUACAAAUUAAUUCUAUAAACUAUUUGUGGCCACCAUUUUCACCUUCCAUUGCCAUGCUUAAUUUGGUCUUGUAUUAUUUACAAUAAAAAAAUUUAAUUUUAAUUAAUUAAUUUAUCAUUUUGCUCUAUCUUUCUCCUAUUUAUUUGAGCCAAACAUGCUACUCCAUUUCACACAAUACCAAUGUUUAUUGCUUAUGUUUCUUAUAUUAUGAUUUUAAUGGAGUGUUGUGGCAAUUGUGCUAGUUGAGAAGAAAGUGUAUAAAGAUAGAAAAAGGUGAGAGUUUAAUCCUUGAAUUCCUUUCAUGCAUGUUCAUCUUUUAAGGUGAGAGCUUAAUUUUCCUUUCAUUUGAAUUGUUAUGCUUGCAAUGUCUUCUCUCAUGUUUUACAUAUUCUAGACAUGAUGAUUUAAACUUAAAUUGAUUCUUGUUGCUACCAAACAUUAAGCAAGCCUAAUAUAAAUUCUAGUUGUUCUUUACAAUUGGUAAGGAGAUAGUUGGAGACAUUAACUUGUUGAAAAAUCUUAAAACCAAAAAUGCAAUCCCCAUAUAAUAUCACCAAAAAUCUUCGAACAUUUAUUCUCAUACAAACUCUUGUUUUAUAUAAGAUUGGUAAACUAGUGCUCACAUUAUAUCAUUGUAAUGAAAUAUCCAGUUUUGUGCAUCAGUUCAUCAACAUCAAACCGUUGCUUCUGUGAGUCCUUCAUUCUCAUUUCGGAUCCAACGCCGACGCGCUUCGCUCGACCAACCGCCCACUCUACACAAGCACUUGAAAUAUGGAGUUCGGUAAUUCCAUUCUCCGUCUUAUAUUACUUAUGAUUAUCAUAGCAAUUUUUAUCAUAGUUUUAUUUGUUUUACCUUUGUUGGUUGACUGAUAUAAAUCUCGUCAAACCAGUCCACCAUUAGAAACGGCCGAACCGAUAGAAACGGCCGAACCGAUAGAAACGGCCGAACCGAUAAAAUCUGGUGAAGCAGUACAAAUUAUGGCGAAUAUGGAUGGGUUUCUAGAUGAAAUUUUGUACAAUUCAUCUAUGCACACCACAUUUAAUCCAAUAGACUGUACAAUAUGUAUGGAAGAUUUUGAAAAUAAUAACAUAUUGUACAGCUUACCAUGUGGACAUGUAUUUCACAAGGAUUGUGUAUCCACAUAUCUAAUAGGAGCACGCGAUAAAAUUUGUCCAAUAUGUAGACAAAUAAUUAUUGCUUAGUUUGUUUUAAGAGUUGUAAUGAGAGUUAGUGUGGCAAUCUGAAUAAAAUUAUUUGUAAUGGUGGAGUGGUUUAAGAUUUGUAAUGGGAGUUAGUGUGAUAAUCAAGCAUUAGUUUGUUUUAAAAAGACUUGUAAGGGGAGCAUUUAUGAUUUUUCAAUUAUUUAGUCUAAUAUCAAGAUUUUUGUAAUGGGAUACUCUAUUUUCAUCCAUCUCCUUCAACUCUAUAUUUGAUCAUAAACACCAAGAGCAUUAUACAGAAUUGUUCAAAAGCAUUUAAAUUUUGAUCUUAAUGAUACAGAAUAUUAAAAAGAGACAUUUCAAGAAGCAAGUCUAAAAUGAAAUGACAGAAGUUUCAAUAAUAAGGGCAGCAACAACAUUCAACUUAAAAUUCAGUUAUUGAAUACUCUAUUCUAUGACAUGUACAGAAAACAAUAUGAAAAGAAGCGUCCAAAGUAGUGCCAAAUUGAGUAUAUUUCUAAUUAGCUUGAUGAAGUUUGCUCAAUAUCACCAUCACCGCAUAUUGAUUUUAAGUCGUCAAGAUUCUCUUUAAGAACUAAUCCAUCUGGAACAGCAACUCUUCCAUCAUUAGAUUUUAUAACAGCUGAAACUUGAGUAUAUUUCUUUCCCCCAGUGUCCUCAUUCUGACGCGUGCAAACCAAGAUACCUAAGAUUGGGAUCCUGAUCAACCAACAACUCCCUAAUUUUUGAAACUGCCAACUUAACAGCAGACUCAUGAUCACUCAAACUAGUUAUCACAGUCCUCACACACUCAAAAACAAGCGAUUUCGCUCCCGAUCUCCUUAAUCAAAACCCUCUUCCCUAACCUAGGUUCCAAAGGUUGAUUCGUUAAGUAGUUGAAGACGCAUGGAUUUGAUGAGAUCGUCGAGAGUGCGUUGGAAGAGAUUGUCCAUUAUUGAAGAAGUUGAUGAACCCGUCGUCAUUUCAGAGUUGGAAGAUGAAGAUUGUUCGGACCGGUGGUUGCUACUUCCUGAAGGACUUCGAUUUUGGAAUGGGCUCAAUUGUUUAUUUCGGCCCAUAAAAACUAAUUUAACUGUUUUAGAUAGAAUGGGUUUCAUUUUUGCACCCUAUUUUCUUUUUCCUUCCUUUUAUGCACCUCUCAAAAACAUGGAUAAUUAUUUCUUAUGGCCGUUUUAGACA